CUCUUCCCAUUCCGAACAGAGAAGUCAAGCCCGCCAGAGCCGAUGGUAUUGCCGUAACAGGUGGGAGAGUAGGUCGGUGCCUUUU
rnacentral:rRNA from 1 species